GGUUUUGAGGGCUGAGAUGAGGCACGAGUUUUCAUCAUACCUCACAGGCGCCAUCACAUUAUAUUUAAGAUUGAAACAGCAAGACAGAUGGAUAUGUUUCGUUGGGGACUUGUGGAGUUUCCUCGACACCGCCCAAGAGCUAAACCUCAGCUCUUUCCAAGUCACAAUGUUUUGGAAGAAUGCGUUUAUUCGUAUAACGAUACUGAUGAUCACCACAGCGUGGGAGUGGGUGCAAAGCUCGAGUUCUUCUUACACGUGUGAGAUAACGACAAGCGCGGGCAUUACAGAUACCCUGACGUCACAGAUCGCUCGCAAGGACCGGAAGCAGUGCCAAUUUCAGACUCACCUCGGAGCACCUCCUGCAGACCGACUUCCUCGCAGAACGCGUCCUGGUCCAGCCCCGCGCCCAAGAGGGUGCUGCGGGCGCUGGGAUUCGCGUCCAGUAGGAUCAGGCGCU